UGUAACUGACUAGGUAAUAUCUUGAUACAGCAACAAUAUCAAAAGUACAAAUGAUGAAUUCAAAGGUACUCAUUAUAAGUCUUGCGGUUCUUGCAGUCGUGGCGUUAGGCGGAUGUGCCAAGAAGAGCGGACAAAGCCGUUUGGACCGCAGUGAAAUCGAGGGCUUGUCCAAUUCUGAAAUAAGAAAAGAGCUCAAUACCUUGUUUGAGGACCAACAGAUGAACCCCAGUGAAUUAUUUGCGGGAUUAUCGAAAAUUUUUCAGAGUAAACUAACCGCUUUGGGAAUCAGCGGAAAAAAAAUUGAUAAUAGCUAAAAUAUAAUAUUGGAUUCAUUUAUCAAGUUCGUUUUUACAACAAUAAAAAAAAUAUCAUA